AGUGCUUGGCAGUCUGGAGGUGACCUGGCCCCAGGGCAGGAUGAUGGCAUGGUGGAGACACAUUGCAGGAGAUUGCGAACUCAGAUGAUUCUUUCAAGAAGUUUAGCCAAAAGAAUGUUCCAGAGACUGCGGCCUCUACGUACCAGACCAUUGGCGAUCCCUGAACAGAUGUCAACGAGAACCUUCAGACCUCACCAGAGAUCCCCUGUGGGGGCAAAACUGCCCACAGGGGCCAAGGCUACAAAAUGACCCUCCAGCUCUGUGGCUCCAGAGAGUGCUGGCCUCCCUCUGCGCAUGCUGGAACUCUGGCAAAUAUCUGUAAUUAAGCAUCUUGUCGUCAGAAAGAUUAGUCAAAACCAGGCUGAUCCCGGACAACUGAUGGAAAUCUCGUUCCACACAAAUUACGGCAUGGAAAAUAAUGAUGGGUAAUUAGUGUCUUUCCAUCAGGGCUUUUUAUCCACGGUUUUCCAGGCUGCAUCCAUCAUAAUGAGAAGAGAGAGGCUGUUGAAGCAGAAAGAGAUGACUGGAUGUGGAGUGGCUGCCUGGACAGCAGGGAGGGUCCUGUCCCCAGCCUGCAGACGGCCUCUGCUGGCCCUUUGAAACGUGGGUCCGCUCAGUCAGUGCCCCCAUGCCAGGCCCCAAAGUUCCUGGGCUCUUAUUUCAGCUGGCUCAGCCAGCUCUGGGUCUGACCAUCUCAAAGAGGUAUGUGAGGGCGAAGGAGAGCGUCCAAAGUUCAGAAUAUGCUCCCAACACACCCCUUGGGUCCUCCCAUUCAGAUGCUGCAGGAGAUCUGCCAUCUGGGAAUUUAUCUCACCUCCUCUUGUUUUUUUUUCCUUCCCAGAACUGGGGAUGGAACCCAGGGGUGUUCUACCACUGAGCUACAUCCCCAGCCCUUCUUAUAUAUAUUUUGAGACAGGAUCUCGCUAAGCUGCCGGCUGGCCUGGAACUUGCUCACCUACUGCCUCAGCCUCCCGAGUCUCUGAAAUUACAGGCAUGUGGCACCUCUUCUUCUACCUGCUUUGAUUUGCCCCCUAUGUCAAGCAGUGGGGUGGCACCAACGUCCCCCCAUUGUCCUUGAACAGACUCCACAGUGAAUUCUGCACAUGGCAUUGAAUUCUCACAAGGGCCCUGGGGCUGGGCUAUGUGGCUUGGUGUAGAGCUGGACUGCUUGGGUUCGAAUCCCAGUUCUGCCCCUUAUGAACUGGGUUAUUGAAUCAGAAAGUGCCUCUGUUUCUUUUUCUGUAAAAUGGGGAUGAGAAUUAUACUACGCCUCUCUCAGGGUGGUCUUGAGAAUUAGCAAGUUAAUACAGAAAAGAGCCUAGGACAGUGCCUGGAAAACAUAAAGUACUCAGUAAAUUCCAGCAGGUGUUCUCACACCCCCUUUGGGUAAUAAGGAGAUGGCUUCUGCUUACUGUCUCUAAAAAGUUCAGUCUUCCAGCAAGAAACACUCUUCCUCCCUCUCUCCUCCCAUCUUCCACCCGCCCCCGCCCCCCAUGCAUCUACCCAUCCCCCCAGGUAGCAGGCACUUCCACUAAGGAAGUCCCUUUUCAGGCAAAAGGGGUGUCCUUCCCCCACACACACAUACAUACUCAAAGGAAUUGCCAGAUUCUUACAGAUGUCCAAGUUAGGACAAUCGGUCCCUCCCAUGAGGUUUUGGUGCCAGGGCUGCCUCUCUGGGGGCAGAAGCAGCAAGGCAGAGAGCUCAAGAACUGAGCAAGUCAUGUGUCCCACCAGUGUGCGGUGAGAGGAAGAAUAUGGAAGCUGGCAGCAGAGAAGAGCAAGGGUCAGAGGCAGAAUGUUCUAGAGCCUCAGUUGCUGCCGCCAGUAGCCCUGAAGCCAAGCAGUGCCUGUGCUCAGCCGAGUGAGCAUGGGCGGUUCCCUGGUGCCUUAGUUCACAGGAGGGGGCUUACUUAACCAAAAGAAUAGCUCACGCCCUCUCGCCCUCUCGCUGGCUCGCUCAUACCUUCAGGUCCUGUCCCAGUAUCUGCUGCACCCAGACCCUGCUCCAGCCCUGGGGAUACACCUGUGGUCCAGGUGCCCAGGUCCCUGCCUCAGGAAAGCCAGUUCUACAUUUCAGACUGCUCUGCCCCUCUACCUCCUGCAACCCCUCCAUCUGCAGGUCCCUGGAAGCCCUCUGGGGACUCCAAGGCCCUGGAAGAUGGCAGAACCACAAACCGGAAGGCCCCAGAACCGCCUCAUGAGAAGGCUCCUGCCAAACACCGUCACCGAAAUGUUACCUGAGCAAUAGGAACUUCUGUGCCCAGGUGUGGAGAGUAAGAGUCGGCGCUGCCCACUCUGCUGUGACAAGGAAUCCUCCAGGGGUAUAAAGUCAGUCAGUGCCCAGGGCCACCCGGGAAAGCAGGGGAGGACACAGGGUGACA